CCUACGGUAGGCAGCAGUGGGGAAUAUUGCACAAUGGUGGAAACCCUGAUGCAGCGACGCCGCGUGAGCGAUGAAGUAUUUCGGUAUGUAAAGCUCUAUCAGCAGGGAAGAAAAUGACGGUACCUGACUAAGAAGCCCCGGCUAACUACGUGCCAGCAGCCGCGGUAAUAUGUAGGGGGCAAGCGUUACACGGAUUUACUGGGUGUAAAGGGAGCGUAGACGGCGGUGCAAGCCAGAUGUGAAAGCCCGGGGCUCAACCCCGGGACUGCAUUUGGAACUGUGAUGCUAGAGUGCAGGAGGGGCAGGCGGAAUUCCUAGUGUAGUGGUGAAAUGCGUAGAUAUUAGGAGGAACACCAGUGGCGAAGGCGGCCUGCUGGACGGUGUACUGACGCUGAGGCUCGAAAGCGUGGGGAGCAAACAGGAUUAGAUACCCUUGUAGUC
rnacentral:rRNA from 1 species